UACGGAGGGUGCGAGCGUUGUUCGGAUUCAUUGGGCGUAAAGGGUGCGUAGGCGGCGCGGUAAGUCGGGUGUGAAAUCUCGGAGCUUAACUCCGAAACUGCAUUCGAUACUGCCGUGCUUGAGGACUGGAGAGGAGACUGGAAUUUACGGUGUAGCGGUGAAAUGCGUAGAUAUCGUAAGGAAGACCAGUGGCGAAGGCGGGUCUCUGGACAGUUCCUGACGCUGAGGCACGAAGGCCAGGGGAGCAAACGGG
rnacentral:rRNA from 1 species